rnacentral:lncRNA from 1 species
GGCAGGUGCACCGAAUCGUCGGGCCGGAGAAGGGCCCAGAUGUCGCCACAUGCCGUGAUCUGAGAGAUCCUCAUUGGUCGUGCUUCUAUCUCGACCGUCGGGAGGCGCUAUAUAUACAGGGUCGCCUGCAUCCGGAUUUCCACUUUUUCCAUUCGCUGUCGAAACUCUGCCCGCGUGGUCCCCUGUCCCAAGUAAUUAUCUCUGUUUUUCCUCUUCUUAGGAGCCUUUCUUUUCUUCUAGGAGCCUUCACCGUUGCUCGUCUCCUUCCUUGCUUUCUCACGGU